AUUGAACGCUGGCGGCAGGCCUAACACAUGCAAGUCGAGCGGAUGAAGGGAGCUUGCUCCUGGAUUCAGCGGCGGACGGGUGAGUAAUGCCUAGGAAUCUGCCUGGUAGUGGGGGAUAACGUCCGGAAACGGGCGCUAAUACCGCAUACGUCCUGAGGGAGAAAGUGGGGGAUCUUCGGACCUCACGCUAUCAGAUGAGCCUAGGUCGGAUUAGCUAGUUGGUGGGGUAAAGGCCUACCAAGGCGACGAUCCGUAACUGGUCUGAGAGGAUGAUCAGUCACAGGGGAACGGAGACACGGCCCAGACUCCACGGGGAGGCAGAAGGGGGAAAUAUGGAACAAGGGGCGAAAGCCUGACCCACCCCUGCGGGGUGUGUGAAGAAGGUCUUCGAAUUUAAAAGCCUUUUAGGUGGGGAGAAAGGGAAGAAAGUUAAUACUUUGCUUUUUUGACUUACCAAAAAAAAAAAGCCCCGGCUACCUCCGUG
rnacentral:rRNA from 1 species